rnacentral:rRNA from 1 species
UACGAAGGGGGCUAGCGUUGCUCGGAAUUACUGGGCGUAAAGGGCGCGUAGGCGGCCAGAUUAGUCAGGCGUGAAAGCCCUGGGCUCAACCUGGGGACUGCGCUUGAUACGGUUUGGCUUGAGGACGGAAGAGGCUCGCGGAAUUCCCAGUGUAGAGGUGAAAUUCGUAGAUAUUGGGAAGAACACCGGUGGCGAAGGCGGCGCUCUGGACCGAGACUGACGCUGAGGCGCGAAAGCGUGGGGAGCAAACAGG